CAACAGGACCAGAGUUUUCAACGUGAAAUAAUUCCAUUGGUUAUAAGGAGCAUUUCAAAAGAAUAAGAACUAAAAGAUUCAGGGAAUUUUGAUCCAUUCUCAAUACCUCAAAAAGCCUUAUUUCUUUCUCAGAGAAGUCACUGCCAACAUUGUCAUGUAGAGAAAUCUACUGUUACUGAAUUAAAAAACAUUAGCCUCAAAUCAUGGAGUGAAAAUUACAAGAACCAGAGCCAGCUCCUUUCAAUUUUGACUUAUUUUGUUGUUUUUACAUAGAAUUUUGGAUAACCUCUGGAUGCAGUGCAAUGAAGAAUCAUCUAGUGUACUGAAGUUUACAACAGGAACAGACUUGACUUGGAAAUAACUUACUGGCUUAUGGGGAGACAUCUACAAGUUUAACUUUGGAGAUUUUACCUGACAGUAACUUUGAGAAGGGCUCAACUGGGCAGAUCCUACCUGGAGUCUCUCACGUCAUUGUCAUCAUAUGUUGGCCAGGACCACAGUCAUCUGAAGGCUUACUUGGCCUGGAUGUCCAAGAAGGCUCACUCUCAUGGCUGGCAGUUGAAGGAGCUGUCAACUGGGAGCUCAGCUUGACUGUCAACCAGAGCAUAUGCAGGGUUUAAGAAUAUAGGCUGCUGUGAUUUAGCUGUCCCUUGAGGAGAGGAGCACACAUCAAGAAGGCUUUCAGGAGUGUUGUUCCAUUUUAAUUUACCAGGAUGACCUACACAAGGCAUUUCAGUCCCUGAAGCAACAAACUGAAGAGAAAAUUUGAGCAAAUGGGCUUUUGAACACCUCUUAGACCCCUGGCUCUUCCCCUGCCUAUGAAGAGAAUUGGCCCUAAAGGGAAGAAUUCUAUUGCUUUUGUAUAAUCUACAGCCCUCAGGAGAGGGUUUCUUGCUACUCUGAAUAACCCUAUUAUGUAGCACAACUUCAGUGAACCAACAGUGAUAUUUUGCUAUGCAGCUCUGAUUCCUAUUUAAUUGAAUCAUCCAUUUUUUUAAAAAAAAAAUAGCUUUCUUUAGGUAUAAUUUACAUACCACAAAAUUCACCCAUUCAUAGUAUACAGUUGAGUAAUUUUUAGUGUAUUCUCAGAGUUGUGCAACCAUCACCACUAUCUAACUUUCAAACAUUCCCAUCUUCCCCAAAAGAAACCCUGUACACAUGAGCAGACAUUCUUCAUUUCCACCCCCACUACCCCAACCCAGCACUAGGUAACAAUCUAUUUUCUGGCUCUAUAAAUUUGUCUAUUCUGGACUUUUCAUACGAAUGGAAUCAUACAAUAUGUGACCUUUUGUGACUGGCUUCCUUCACCUAGCAUAAUGUUUUCAAGAUUCAUCCAUGUUGUAGCAUGUAUCAGUAAUACUUCACUCCUUCUUAUUGCCAAAUGAUAUUCCAUUAUAUGGAUGUACCACCAUUGUUUAUCCAUUCAUCAGUUGAUGGACAUUUGCAUUGUUUCCACUUUCUGUCUAUUAUGAAUAAUGGUGCUAUGAAUAAUGCUUGUUGUUAGUGUACAACUUUUUGUGUGGAUAUAUGUUUUCAAUUCUCUUGGGUAUAUCCUGUAGGGGAGGAAGAGAGUUCCUCUACCCUCUAGGUCCUUCUGGCUGGGCUAUGAAUUAAAUUGACAUGAGACAGAAGAACAGGAGAAAAUCAAACAAAGCUUUAUAACAUGUAUACCUGGGAGAAACCCGGGAAAACUGAGCAACUUAGCCAGAAUGGCCAAAACUACCACCUUAAAUAGCAUCUUUAGCUAAAGACAAAGGAGGAUGUUGGAGGUGGAGGGAGUCAGUAAUGGGAGAUUACCAGAAAAUUAUGGUAAACAAGAGUAAGGUUAUGAUGCAGAUUUAAGUCCUUGGCUUCCACACUGAUAAGAGUUUCUAGAGAUAAGGUCAUCCCCCCUUCUUCCUGGUACAGAGAGGGAGACAUCUUUACAAAUGGAGAGUUCCCCUAGAAAUGUAAAUAUCUCUUACAAACGGUAACUUCUACUUGGUUUUCAGAGCUUCUCCCCUGCCUGCAGUUUCUUAAAAGUAACGAGCCCAAAAUAAUCCUCAUGCCAGAGAAACACAUUUUGGGGUGGCCAAUUCUGAUCCCCCAUUCCUCACUGUGGAAUUGCUGCGUCAUACGGUAAUUCUACAUUUAACAUUUUGAGGAACUACCAAACUAUUUCCAAAGUGGCUACACCAGUUUUAUUCCCAUCAGCAAGGUAUGAGGGUUCCAAUUUCUCCACGUCUUCACCAACAGUUGUUAUUGCCACCCUCAUGGGUAUGAAGUUGUAUCUUGUUAUGGUUUUGAUUUGCCUUCCCCUAAUGAUGGCAAUCAUCUUUUCAUGUGCUUAUUGGCCAUUUGUGUAUCUUCCUUGGAGAAAUGUUCAUUCACAUCUUUUGUCCACUUUUAAUUGUAUUAUUUGUCCUUUUAUUAUUGAGUUGUAAGAGUUCUUAAUAUAUUCUGGAUAUAAGUUAUUUGUCAGAUACAUAAUUUGCUAAUAUUUUCUCCCAUUCUCUGGGCUGUCAUUUUACUUUUUUGUUGGUUUCUUUUGAAGCACAAAAAUCUUUAAUUUUGAGGUAGUCCAAUUUGUCUAUUUUUAUUUUUGUUGCUUAUUCUUUUGGAGUCAUAUCCAAGAAAACACUGCCUAUCCCAAGGUCACAAAGGUUUACAUUUAUGUUUUCUUCUAAGAGUUUUAUACUUUUAGCUUUUAACUUUAGGUCUAGGAUCUGUUUUGGAUUAAUUUUUGUAUAUGGUAUGAGGUGGUGUCUCACUUUAUUCUUUUUUGAGUAGAUAUCUGGUUAUCCCAACACCAUUUGUUGAAAUUGCAUAAGCUUUUAAACCACAUACUAGAAAGCUGUUAAGUUAGCAGUUACAUUAGCUGUCUGUCACUGAGCAUCCGAGUAAGCAAAUUCAACUCUGGGAGCUUUCGGAAUCAGUAUUUGUUUCUGUAGAUUUGUAUACACUGUACAUCUCUUCUUGCUUCUGAAUGUUUCACAAGUUUUAUUCUGUUGAAUAUCUCAGGUGUUUGGAUGUAUUGCUCUUCCCCAAAGUAAAUAUAUAAUUUACUAUAUUUAAGUUUAAAAUGGGUGAAAACUGUUACAAGUAAUUAAUCUUGACCUACAAAGAGCUAGCAAUUCAUCCAUUUAUUUCCUCAAGAAAAAUUUAUUGAGUAUCUACUAGGUACCAUGGAUAUAAUGCUGGGAAUAUAGUAAUGAACAGAAUAUAGUCCUUGUCCACAAGGAACAUAUUCUAAAGAGAAGAAGAAAAAACAAAAAGUAGAGGGGGGCCAGCCCAGUGGCACAAUCGUUAAGUUCACAUGUUCCGAUUUGGCGGCCCAGGAUUGGUCAGUUCGGAUCCUGGGUGCAGACCUACACACCGCUUGUCAAGCCAUGCUGUGGCAGGCGUCCCACAUAUAAAGUAGAGGAAGAUGGCCAUGGAUGUUAGCUCAGGGCCAGUCUUCCUCAACAAAAAGAAGAUUGGCGGUAGAUGUUAGCUCAGGGUUAAGCUUCCUCAAAAAAUAAAAAAAAAAGGAGAGCUAUAAUAUGUGAGGUGUUAAUACAUGUUAAGAAGAAAAUUAAAGCAGAGUAAGAGGGUAGAGAGUGAUACGGAAAGCGGUUGCUAGUUCACUUAGAGUGGUCAGAGGUCUCUGAUUAAGGCAACACUUAACCAGAAACUGGAAGGUUGCAGGGAACUAUCUGUGCAGAUCUACUAAGGAAGAGUGUCCCAUGCAGUAGGAACAGCAAGUACAGUGACCUGAGGUGGAAGGUGCUUGGCUCAGUUCAAAUUUUCCCUCUCCCUCUGUAUUUCUAAUGCAGACAGCAUAAUUUCUGUGCAUAGCCCAACUUCACCAGUUCCUUUUCUAAAAAUAUUUUGCUGUAAUGAAUUAUAAAUUGUGUCAUCCCUAAGAAGAUUCAGUUAAGAGAAUGUUUCAUUUAAAACUAAGACAAAAACAACAACAAAAAAACUGAAAACAUUUUCCUACAUUACAUUUUGCAUCCUUGCUGAAGCACUAUUUCUGAUGUUGCAACUUCGAUCCAAUUCAACAAAUUUAACUGAAUGCCUGUGGUGCUAUUUCCAAAAUCAUAAUUUGUGGACCCUAUCUGUGAUUCAGAACUUUCACUAGGAACUUGACAAUGGUUUGAGUAAAGACAGUCAGCCUUCAGUAAUUUAUGACAACUACAUUUGUAUUCUGACCAUACAAAAUGUAGUGAAUUCCAUCAAGAUGACCUAAUUCCAAGGAGCUGUGUGUUGAGGAAUCUGGAUGGCUUAUGAACAUCUUACCUCGAGCGUCAUCAGCUAUGACACAGUGGGUGUGUAUCAUGGGGUCAGUUCUUCAUUUAUACCACAUAUGGCUGUGGUAAUUCCAUGACUCUCUGGAGUUAAUGGUAGAAAAAUCAGGUGUUGUUGCCUGUAUACCAUGUUCCCACUGAAUAUCAAUAUCCAAAGAGAAGACAUACUUGGUAUGAAAAUGUCAAUGUAUUUUACAGCCAUUACAUUUCUUAAAAAGUCAUCACUGUUCAGGAGCAAUGCCCUGAAAAUCAAUGCCCAAUCUUUCUCUCUUCCUCCUUGCCCUUGUUCGUGAUCUCUAUUUCAGAUUACCUUAGGCGGUUGGCAAAUCUUAAGUGGCCUGGAUAUACGAAAGUCAGAUGCUUUAAUACCUUCAAUAUUUAAACUUGGAAUAUUCCAGGAUGCCCUAAACUAAAUUAAAAUGCAAUUAUGGAAUGCCUUCUUGCCUUUCACCAAAUAGAUUCAAUGCCUACCCACUGCCUAAGGUAAAAUAAUCUUCCCCUCCCUGAACUCAAGUUAAAACUCUUUUCUCCUGCCUAGCGCUUCUUAUGUCUUAUUUUCCACACUGUAUUGUACCUACAUCCUUUGACUGACAUCACCUAGGAGCAUAUCCUAGGUCUGUAGUGGGUUCUCAGUAAGUAUUUACUAACGUAUUAUUAUUAUUAUGGCUUGGAAGUAUUAGGGAGAUAAAUAUCACAAUGAUCCCAUGGUGUUCAACUUUGUUUCUAUUUUGGAUUUUUAGCUUUGUUGGCUUAAUUUGUAUGGCUUUGGUUAAAAAAGAUAGGAGAGGAUGAGUGGGAAGAAAAGUUUAAAGUGUGUUAUUCAUUUAGGGAUGUUUUUUAUUCGUUUAUACCCACCCUAUGGUCAGAAAUAAAAUUCAACUUUAAAAAAAACCAUUGUAUUGAGUCCUACUGGCUAUUUCCUUUAAAUGUGGCUGGAAUGAUGGUCUUUAAAGGGUGUUACCAGAUUAAGGCUUUGCCAAGUAAGGAAGGUGGAGCUGUGUGGGAAUGAGGCUUUGUUUAAUCAGGUUGUAUAAUGUUUUGCUGAGACAUGUUGGGAAAAAGCAAUCCAAAGUAAUGUGGACUCAGUAUGAAAUCACAGUCUGAAGCACACCUUAUAAAACUGAGAGAGCUUUUGCUAUCCUCUUGGAAAUUCAUAUACCAGAAAUGCUAGGGAAAAUUAACUCUAUAUAUACAGUUCCCUCCCUAACAUUUGUGGACUUGAAAAAGAGCACAAAUAGAGGCCCAUGUACAAUAUUUCAAGUUGUAAAUCAUGGUAAAUAUCUUUAAAUGAAGUGUGUUCUAUCUUCUUCCUUAAAAAAAUAUACCUUCAGGCAAAGUUCAAAUUUAAAAUUCUUUGAUAUUUUGGAGCUUCAUGCUUAAAAAGUGGAGAUCCUGGGAGAGCCUAUCCCAAAGCCCACAGCCCAGCCCCACGCUCUUCCCUCCCCCAGCUCCAUCCCACAAGGUGAGAGAUUUCAAGAGUAUGCAUGUGGACACACCUACCCACAUAUCCAUAUCAGAUCCCCUGCAAACAGCUGUUGCUUGGGCAUCCCUCAGGCCUAGGGGUGUUUCAUACGGAUGGAAGAAUUCAUGCAUGGGAACAGACCUGAGGAAGAAGCUGAAGCAGGCUCAUUGCCAUUUGGGUGGGAAUUCUGGGAUUCCAAGUAACCAGAGAAGGCAUAGAAGGGGGCAUGACUCAGGCUCUGGGUGGGCACAGCCAUUUAGUUCCUGGGUUCUUUGUCUUGUGCAGAUGGCUGUAGUCAGAGGAAGGGCAGCGAGAUUCUCUGAAGCCUAAGGCCCACAACAGAGGCCCCUCUUGCCUGGGUCAAAGAGGCAUACUCUGUGUGUGCAUAUCUAUGUGUGUAUAUGCCAAGUACGACUGCCUACAUAUCUUUCAAAGACAUAGAAAAUUUAACAUAUAAUCACGUAGUGAUUAUCUUACCUAAGGGAGAGGUAUAACCUUAUGGAUGAUCUGAAAGGAUGAGCAAUACAACACAUUUGAGAUUGGGUGCACUACAACAAUUAAUUGACUGUGGAUAUUUAAAUACUUCAAACAGAUAAUGAUACGUUAUAAAAUAAUGAGAUUGAAGUCCCUCUCAGAAAGGCUUGGAAAGCUGUUGUUUCCCUCAUCUAUGUACUACAGGAUCAACUUCAUCUCACUCUACCCGCCCCCCCCCCCACUCUGCACUGCCGGGGGG
ensembl:lncRNA